UUAAGCUACUAAGAGCACAGGGUGAAUGCCUUGGCACCAAGAGCCGAUGAAGGACGUGAUAAGCUGCGAAAAGCUGUGAGGAGGAGCAAAUAUCCAUUAUAUUCACAGAUAUCCGAAUGAGGAAACUCUAGUUAGGAAAAAAGCUAACUAAUCCAUACAUGAGUAAAGUAGUGUAUGUGAGGGGAACGUAGGGAACUGAAACAUCUAAGUACCUACAGGAAAAGAAAGAAAACUCGAUUCCUUGAGUAGUGGCGAGCGAAAGAGGAAGAGCCUAAACCAAGAGAAGUAAUUUUCUUGGGGUUAUGGACUACAUAAAUGAUUCAAUAGAUUUAGCAGAACUGUUUGGAAAAGCAGACCAAAGAUAGUGAAAGUCUAGUAAGCGAAAAAUCGAAAGACAUGGUAGUAUCCGGAGUAGUGCGAGACACGGGAAAUCUCGUAUGAAAAAGUGGGGACCACCCCAUAAGGCUAAAUACUACUUGGUGACCGAUAGUGGAACAGUACCGUGAGGGAAAGGUGAAAAGAACCCCGGGAGGGGAGUGAAAGAGAACCUGAAACCCUGUGUUUACAAGCAGACAAAGCACGUUAAGGUGCGAUGUCGUACUUUUUGUAGAACGGUCCGGCGAGUUAUUUUAUAUGGCAAGGUUAAGUACUAUUAAGGUACGAAGCCGAAGCGAGAGCGAGUCUGAAAAGGGCGAGUAAGUCAUAUGAAAUAGACCCGAAACCGAGUGACCUAUCCAUGGUCAGGAUGAAGCUUGAGUAAAAUCAAGUGGAGGUCCGAACCCAUAAGCGUUAAAAAGCUUCGGGAUGAACUGUGGAUAGCGGAGAAAUUCCAAUCGAACUCGGAGAUAGCUGGUUCUCCUCGAAAUAGUUUUAGGACUAGCCUUGUUUAGUAGUAUGUGGGGGUAGAGCACUGAAUGAGCUAGGGGCCAAACCAGGUUACUGAACUCUAUCAAACUCCGAAUACCAUGUACGUAAGAACAGGAGUCAGACUGCGGGAGCUAAGUUCCGUGGUCAAAAGGGAAAGAGCCCAGAUCGUCAAUUAAGGUCCCAAAGAUAUAGUUAAGUGGAAAACGAUGUGAUUUUGCGUAAACAACCAGGAUGUUGGCUUAGAAGCAGCCAUUCAUUUAAAGAGUGCGUAAUAGCUCACUGGUCGAGUGGAGUUGCGCGGAAAAUUACCGGGGCUAAACUAUACACCGAAAUUGCGGAUUCAUGAGUAAUCAUGAGUGGUAGAGGAGCAUUCUAUAGUAGGACGAAGGUAGAUCGAAAGGACUGCUGGACGAGAUAGAAGAGAGAAUGCCGGAAUAAGUAGCGAAAGCAUGGUGAGAAUCCAUGCCAUCGAAAGUCUAAGGUUUCCUGGGGAAGGUUCGUCCGCCCAGGGUAAGUCGGGACCUAAGGAGAGGCCGAAAGGCGUAUCUGAUGGACAGCAGGUAGAAAUUCCUGCACCACCGAUAUACUUAAAAAAUGCAAGGGACACAGUAGUGGAAGGAAAGCGAGGAAGAGGAAAGACUCGUAUCGAAAGAUAUAGUGAAAAAAUAAGUAACGAAUUUCCAAGAAGCACACUGGCGAGAAAAGCUUGUAGGAAUUGUAUAAAGGUGCCCGUACCGCAAACCGACACAGGUAGAUGAGGAGAGGAUCCUAAGAUGAGCGAGAGAAGCAUUGUUAAGGAACUCGGCAAAUUGACCCCGUAACUUAGGGAGAAGGGGUGCCAAAGUAAAAUUUGGUCGCAGAGAAGAGGCCCAAGCAACUGUUUAACAAAAACACAGGUUUCUGCUAAAUCGAAAGAUGAAGUAUAGGAGCUGACGCCUGCCCAGUGCUGGAAGGUUAAGGGGAAGAGUUAAGACUUGAUCUGAAGCUUAGAACCAAAGCCCCAGUGAACGGCGGCCGUAACUAUAACGGUCCUAAGGUAGCGAAAUUCCUUGUCAGGUAAGUUCUGACCCG
rnacentral:rRNA from 1 species